GAACACCGCAAGCACUCGUCGGAAAUCACCUGUUUCCUGAUGGGCCCUUUCAAACAGCUGAAGCGAAUGUUUGAGCCCACCAGACUUAUAGCCACCAUUAUGAUGCUGCUAUUCCUUGUGCUGACAUUAUGUGCAGUGUUUUGGUGGAACAAAAAGGGUCUGGCGAUCAUCUUCUGCAUUUUGCAAUUUUUGGCCAUGACAUGGUA